rnacentral:rRNA from 1 species
GGACGAACGCUGGCGGCGUGCUUAACACAUGCAAGUCGAACGGAAAGGCCCUGCUUUUGUGGGGUGCUCGAGUGGCGAACGGGUGAGUAACACGUGAGUAACCUGCCCUUGACUUUGGGAUAACUUCAGGAAACUGGGGCUAAUACCGGAUAGGAGCUCCUGCUGCAUGGUGGGGGUUGGAAAGUUUCGGCGGUUGGGGAUGGACUCGCGGCUUAUCAGCUUGUUGGUGGGGUAGUGGCUUACCAAGGCUUUGACGGGUAGCCGGCCUGAGAGGGUGACCGGCCACAUUGGGACUGAGAUACGGCCCAGACUCCUACGGGAGGCAGCAGUGGGGAAUAUUGCACAAUGGGCGGAAGCCUGAUGCAGCAACGCCGCGUACGGGAUGACGGCCUUCGGGUUGUAAACCGCUUUCGCCUGUGACGAAGCGUGAGUGACGGUAAUGGGUAAAGAAGCACCGGCUAACUACGUG